GACGAAGGUGGCGAGCGUUGUUCGGAAUUACUGGGCGUAAAGGGCGCGUAGGCGGCUUGACAAGUUGGAUGUGAAAGCCCUGGGCUCAACCCGGGAAUUGCAUUCAAGACUGUCUUGCUUGAAUUCGGUAGAGGUUGGUGGAAUUCCCAGCGUAGAGGUGAAAUUCGUAGAGAUUGGGAGGAACACCCGUGGCGAAGGCGGCCAACUGGACCGACAUUGACGCUGAGGUGCGAAAGCGUGGGGAGCAAACAGG
rnacentral:rRNA from 1 species